UUCUUGUUAGCGGCCCAUGGUAGAUUCAAGCUAGGGAAAAGCCCAAAUUACAAUGACAACAGCCAGAAGAACCACUAACAUAGACUCUAGGAAGGAAUAUUACAAGAUGAAAAGUCGAUAUGCAAGAUGGCGACAGAACUGCUGCCUCACAUACAUUCGAGUGUUGUCCACUGCUGGCGAAUGCCAUACAACAUGCACCACAUGGUAUGGAUAUAUGUACACUGUGUUCUGUGAACCGGUCUAUUGCAGUCCAUGCUGAUUGGCAAGAAUUGAUGCAUACCAUUAUGGACUCAUCUUUUCCAUAUUGCAGCCUGUAAUGUGGCUAAGCACAUACCUAGACAGCAUAAUAUCAUACCAACCAGCGACUGACAUAGGUGCAACAAGCAGUAGCUUUCUUAUUAACCUUACAGAGCUGCCUUGCAACUUGAACAGCAGAAUAGCUGGCAUAUGUUCUAUUGAAUUGAAGGAAAAUGAGUGAAGAUAGGCAACAAAUAAAGGGCAAGCAUGGUGAGAGAAGAGAUGGGUCUUGAAGGCAUCUGAACAUGGCAAUAUUGUUCAAGAAACUAACCUAGAUGGUUGGGAUAUGCACAUUACACAUAGAUGGUCAUGAUUUUUCAUCUAGGGCAUUGAAGUAGAAAUGAAGCUACUACAGUUAAAGUUAAGCAGCACCUAGUCAAAAGACCAAAGCAGUUUUUCAAGUUAUAAGGCCAAAGCAGUCUUUCAAUUAAUUCCCCAGGCUUUUCCAAUUCUUUUCAACUACCCAACAAAUGUUGUAAAUUAUACCUAAAGCAGGUGUUUUUAAAAUAUCUGCCUCUCCACAU
rnacentral:lncRNA from 1 species